CCGCCGCUGGGCGGGCCGGGGCGACGCCGCUUCCGCCCGGCGCCAAGAUGGCGGCGCCCUUUGUCUGGUCGGUGUCACGGUGAGGGCCGCGGGCCGCGGGUGAGGCCCCGCCGGGCCCGGCAUGGCAGGAUCCGUUCCUGGAAAUGAGGACAGAGCCCUGUGGGCAGAGGCAGCGAGGGUUGGGGCCGCGCCGUUCCCCGAGCUGAGGCACGAGGCGGGAGCUGACGGAUGGCUGCGUAGAGACUGACCUGAGCACUUGGAAAAUUUCUGGAGGAGAGACAGAACCCUCUGGCCCUCGAUCCUCCGGGUAUCUGUGCUCCCCACAGCACAGGGGUGAGCUCGGGCACCACUCCUGGGGGUUGGCUCCAGGUGUUUGGGAUUGUCAAACCUCAGAGUCAGGGGUUGUAGUGGGU
rnacentral:lncRNA from 1 species